UACAGAGGUCUCAAGCGUUGUUCGGAUUCAUUGGGCGUAAAGGGUGCGUAGGUGGCGCCGUAAGUCAGGUGUGAAAUCUCGGGGCUCAACCCCGAAACUGCACUUGAUACUGCGGUGCUCGAGUACUGGAGAGGAGAUUGGAAUUUACGGUGUAGCAGUGAAAUGCGUAGAUAUCGUAAGGAAGACCAGUGGCGAAGGCGGCUCACUGGGGGUUAUCUGACGCUGAGGAACGAAAGCCAGGGGAGCAAACGGG
rnacentral:rRNA from 1 species